rnacentral:rRNA from 1 species
GACGAACCGUCCUAACGUUGUUCGGAAUCACUGGGCUUAAAGGGCGCGUAGGCGGACCAUCAAGUCCGGGGUGAAAUCUUUCGGCUUAACCGGAAAAGUGCCUUGGAUACUGGUGGUCUCGAGUGAGGUAGGGGCAUGUGGAACUUCUGGUGGAGCGGUGAAAUGCGUUGAUAUCAGAAGGAACUCCGGUGGCGAAAGCGACGUGCUGGACCUCUUCUGACGCUGAGGCGCGAAAGCUAGGGGAGCGAACGGG